GGACCAAGGAGUCUAGCAUGUGCGCGAGUCAUUGGGAUAUUUACUAAACCUAAAGGCGCAAUGAAAGUGAAGGUCCGCCUUGCGCGGACCGAGGGAGGAUGGACCGUNCCGAGGGNCGGCCCNGCACUCCCGGGGCGUCUCGUUCUCAUCGCGAGAAGAGGCGCACCCAGAGCGUACACGCUGGGACCCGAAAGAUGGUGAACUAUGCCUGGUCAGGACGAAGUCAGGGGAAACCCUGAUGGAGGUCCGUAGCGAUUCUGACGUGCAAAUCGAUCGUCGGAACUGGGUAUAGGGGCGAAAGACUAAUCGAACCAUCUAGUAGCUGGUUCCCUCCGAAGUUUCCCUCAGGAUAGCUGGCGCUCGCUUCUCGCGAGUCUCAUUCGGUAAAGCGAAUGAUUAGAGGCAUUGGGGUCGAAACGGCCUCAACCUAUUCUCAAACUUUAAAUGGGUGAGAUCUCCGGCUUGCUUGAACUGUGAAGCCGCGAGAUAUCGGAUCAGAGUGCCAAGUGGGCCACUUUUGGUAAGCAGAACUGGCGCUGUGGGAUGAACCAAACGCCGAGUUAAAGCGCCUAAAUCGACGCUUAUGGGAUACCAUGAAAGGCGUUGGUAACUUAAGACAGCAGGACGGUGGCCAUGGAAGUCGGA
rnacentral:rRNA from 1 species